UACGUAGGGGGCAAGCGUUGUCCGGAUUUAUUGGGCGUAAAGAGCGUGUAGGCGGCUGGGUAGGUCUGCUGUGAAAACUCGAGGCUCAACCUCGAGACGUCGGCGGAAACCCUCCAGCUAGAGUCCGGAAGAGGAGAGUGGAAUUCCUGGUGUAGCGGUGAAAUGCGCAGAUAUCAGGAAGAACACCCGUGGCGAAGGCGGCUCUCUGGGACGGUACUGACGCUGAGACGCGAAAGCGUGGGGAGCGAACAGG
rnacentral:rRNA from 1 species